CUUCGGUAUUUAUUUUGUUUCCUGGCUGCUAGGUGGUUGGAGUCAAAGAUCCUCGAAUGGGUGAAGAGGUCUGUGCCUGCAUCAAACUGGUGGACGGCCAGGAGUGCACAGCAGAGGAGAUCAGAGCAUACUGCAAAGGACAGAUCGCCCACUUCAAGAUUCCUCGCUACAUCCUCUUUUUGACCAGCUUCCCACUCACCGUUACUGGAAAGAUCCAGAAGCAAAAGCUACGUGAAGAGGCCGAGAAGCAGCUGAGCUGAAUCAGAGGAAAUGACAGACUUCUCUCCUGAACGGAGAGAAUUCAAUUACUGUUUCCAGUACUUAAACUGUAUAUGAAUCGUAUAGCAUAAACUACAAUUUGGAUUAAGCCAACCGGCCAUCAGAACAAGAUAAAAUGUCUGGAGAAGAUUCUCUGGCAGACGGUGUAAUCCGUAAGCAGACCAGCAAUGGGCAGGGAUCUUUAAACUGUGAUUAGUGGGUCAGGUAUUUAAGCUCUUACAAGAAAAAGGCAUCAAUCCACUUACGACAAGGGCGCAAUUUACUCUGCAAACAUGUACAGACUCAGAUCCAGGUUGAAAGCGGCACAGGAAUCAAGACGGAACAUAAAAUGUGAUUUUAGCACUCAAAUGUGAUUCCAUUUUCUUUUUAACAGUUCUACUCUGACCGUCCUGUGAGGCUGAUGUGUGCGGACACCUUGUUGGUCUGCUCAGUUUUUACCCAGCAGCUACAAAACUUCCAUUUUUUUUAAUUAUUGUUAUUAUUAUAAUUAUCUUUAAUCUCAACUUGAAAUAAACUCCAUUAAAGCCA